rnacentral:rRNA from 1 species
GAUGAACGCUGGCGGCGUGCCUAAUACAUGCAAGUCGAGCGAACAGACGAGGUACUUGCUCCACCUACGUUAGCGGCGGACGGGUGAGUAACACGUGGAUAACCUACCUAUAAGAGUGGGAUAACUUCUGGAAACCGGAGCUAAUACCGGAUAAUAUAUUUAAACGCAUGGUUUAAUAGUGAAAGACGGUUUUGCUGUCACCUAUGAAUGUAUCCCGUUAGCAUUAGCUAGUUGGGAAGGUAACGGCUUACCAAGGGAACGACGAGUAGCCGACCUGAGGGGGGGAUCGGCCACACUGGAACUGGACCACGGUCCAGACUCCUAGGGAAGGCAGCAGAAGGGAACCUUCCGCAAUGGGCGAAAGCCUACCGGAGCAACGCGGCGUGAGUGAUAAGGGUCUUCGGAUCGUAAAACUCUGUUAUUAGGGAAGAACAAAUGUGUAAGUAACUAUGCACGUAUUGACGGUACCUAAUCAGAAAGCCACGGCUAACUACGUG